AUGGCCGAUGUAAGUGCUGAGUGUUUGGAUGAGUACGUAAACAUUGUCAGCAGGAUGUUUCAUAGCGGGGAUGAAGGUUUUGAGUUCUAUAACAAGUAUGCUCUUGAGAAAGGCUUUAGUGUGAGAAAAGGCUAUGUUGAGUGGGAUGAAGCGAACGAGAAGAUAAUUCUGAGGAAAUUU
rnacentral:rRNA from 1 species